GUCCAGGGAUGGGAGACGGCACUCAGGGAGCUAGCACUGGACAGGCCAGUGAUUCCGAAGACAGAGGAUAAAGGAAUGAAAGCAGGAAGAGAGAGAAUGGGUUAUGGGUGAAAUAUUCAGAUCCUGUAACCUCCAUAGAAGGUGGCCAAGUGGGCAGGGAGGCAAAGUCCCAGCCAAGCCCCUCAGCACCCCCAUGUUUUCCCAGCCCUGCUGAGCCCUGCAGUUCGUCUCCUCCUGGCUCCAAAAGCCAGACCAAACCCCGGAGAACAGAGGCGGAAAAAUGUUCCUGUACACGCACCCGGAGGCUUUUGCAGGAGGCGGCUGUUGGAGAACUGGGAAAACAAGCCAAGAAACAAGAGAGAGGAAAAAGACCACGCCUCGCCUGGCAGAUUCCUAAUGGCCCAGGAGACCUGAGGCUUUACAGUGGGAGGCCGGUGGGGGCCGGCUCGGGUGGGAGGGAAGGGCAGGCCGAAGGACAGCCACUUGCUGGCUGGUGACCUUGGGCGGGAUACUGCCUGCUUCCCUCUGGUGAGAAUGGGGAGGAGGGAGGCAGGGGCAGGCCUGGCCAGCUGAGGUCACAGGAAGGCCUCUUCCAGCCUGAAACGCGAUCUCGGGAUGUGGGGCCUGCCAACCUGCAGCGACCCUGGGCCAGCAGAGAUGAAAGGCUGCCUGUCCCCAGCUUCCGGACCCCCAAGGCCCCACUGCCUCAAACUUGGAGAGCAGCAGAGCUGUGUUGCCACUGGCUAGAGCCAGCUGCUGGGCUCCCCACCCCACCUUAUGUCAUCCAACCCUCCCUUCCCUGUUUUGCAGAGGACUCUCAGGCCCAGAGAGGGUGGUGACCUGCCUGAGGUCACACAGCAAGUGGGAGGUUGAGCCAAGGCUCACCACAGUCUUUGGACUCCACCUCCAGGCCUCCUGCCUUUCCCAGAAACUUGGCUGCCUGGGGGCUUACCCUGGGGAGUUGGAGAGCUGAGGAGGACACUUAGGAGCUGUGUCUGUUUGAAGUCACAACUUAAUGUUGACUAAAGUGCUUUUUUUCUUAAAGACAAAAAGAAAAUUCCCAACCCCUGUCAUAAGCCUGGACUUGCUCGCUGGCAGGGGAAGGAAUGCAGCUCUGGCCACCACAGCUGCUGGUGGCCAGCUGCAGCCUCAGCCUCUGCUGCUCCCGCCCCAGCCGGCAAAGGGACAAAGGCCUCUUCUCAGGCCUGUCCUCUCCAGCCCCUUGGAUCAGCUGGCAGAACAUUGACGAGCACCUCCUCUGUCACAGACCUGCUAAGUCAUUGUUCCUCUCUGGGCCUUAGUGCCCUUUCUGUAAAAUGGGGGCACAGUAUCUGCCUGAUCUACUUCUCAGCACUGUUUUGAGGCUCCAAGUAAAAUUCUGGAAAUA